UACGAGAGGCCCAAACGUUAUUCGGAAUUACUGGGCUUAAAGAGUUCGUAGGCGGCAUUGCAAGUAGGGUGUGAAAUCCCUCGGCUUAACCGGGGAACUGCGUCUGAUACUGGAUGGCUAGAGUUUGGGAGAGGGAUGCGGAAUUCCAGGUGUAGCGGUGAAAUGCGUAGAUAUCUGGAGGAACACCGGUGGCGAAGGCGGCAUCCUGGACCAACACUGACACUGAAAAGCGAAAGCCAGGGGAGCAAACGGG
rnacentral:rRNA from 1 species